rnacentral:lncRNA from 1 species
UUCUUAUUCAAAUUGAUACUAAUUCACAAUAAUUACUGUGUAUAUUAGCAAUGCCGACACAUGUAUAAAUAUACUAUGAUAGUAACAUUUGUUUAUAGUCGUUACAGUUUAAUUCACAAGUGGCUAAGUAGGCAGCAGAACAGUUAUUUCUGGAACAACCAGGAUAUCCGGAACGAGAGAAUAACAACUUUUGAAGAUAGUUUAUCGCACGUAACAUACUUACUACCUACUCGGAUACUCCAUUGAAUUCCUGUAAUUGUAAUACAUGAACGGACAUUAAAGCAGAACGCAAUAGGAUGUAUACAAGGAAGCAGACUGAACUCAUAAAUAUAAAAGAUGAAUCACUUAUCCUCAGAAAUGAUGUACCGCAUAUUUUCACAAAGUAAGUAGGUAUGUAAGUAUAUUACUAGUAUAUUAUUUUCAACCGUCACAGACAUUGCAGAACGUUAGAAGUAGAUAUUAAAACUAUUUUAAUAAAGAAAUGGAACCUGGGGAGGGUUCAUUUCACUGGGUACAAAAUUCUCUCUAGUCAAUUUCGUCAAUAACGACUGUACAUACAUUGGAGCACCUACACCUAAAUACAUAUGUAUUUUUAUUACACACUAUCGAUGUAUUUGUCUCAUCACAUGACUUAGCUUAUCCUGAC